AAACGUCUGGAUACAGGAAAAAUGAACUCCUGAAUUUGGCUCGUGAAGAUAUUUGUUUGACGCAAGCUCUUCUCGGCUUUGGGAAUUUCCUGGCUGACAGCAGUGGGGAAAAUCCACCACAUUUCCAUUAAAAUCUAUCAUUUGUGGAUAUUUCUGCGUAUUUUGUUUCUUUCUUGAAUCAUUACUACAGGAUACUACAAUGCAAUGAUAGUGCACCAUUGUUAAAAUCAGGUGAAUCGAUCAUGAUAAAUGUUGCAGAACUGGUACUAUUUACCAACAUGCCCAAAUUCUCGCAUAUUCUGGGCCUCGCGAGACUUUGAAAGGGGGAAGUAAAAUUUAAAACCAAGACGGAAAAAGUAGUCGUGAUCUUGCGUAUUUGAAGAACAAAUUGAUGAUGCCCUCCGGAAGAGACUAUUGAAUGUCCUUGCCAGUCUCCAAGGGGGUAGUGAUGCUGCAAAAAUAUGCAGAAAGAUAAUGCGGACAUGCAUGACAAAUGGAUGCAUGAGCCAGUUCAGUGGCACUGGCCAAAAGGGCAAGGCUAGAUUUAUGGACACCAAAUUAUUUACUAUUGUUAUAGGUGCUGGAAGAAAAGCUUAAAAAAAAAACAAAUUUCAGUGGAAGAACUAAAGAAUGAGGUGUUAAGAAGUGCCCCGAAUAAACCAGGAGGCUCCAAUUACAUGAAGAAACAAAAGGAAAAGAGGCGGAGGUGCUUGCCUGAAAUCCCAGAGAACAGAGGAUGACUGAUUGUGAGACGUUACAAAUUUCUACACUGUGUUUCGGAAAUUCCAGAGAACAGAGGAUGACUGAUUGUGAGACGUUACAAAUUUCUACACUGUGUUUCGGAAAUCCCAGAGAACAGAGAAUGACUUACAAGACUUUAAAAAUUCCCCACUAUGUUUUUUAAAAUCCAAUGUUACUGUUAUAUUUGCCUUUUUUUCAUAUCUAAAUAGUAAAUAUUUUAAACUCUAAAUAAUAUCUUUUGAAUCCAUAUCUCCACAGGACAGUGGUAUUUAAAUGUCAUUUUGCAUCCAUCGUCAUUCCCACAUGCUAAAAACAAAAAUCAAAGAAUAACAGAAAAGAAAAAAGUAAACACUAAUCAAAUAAGAUUGAAUACAAUGCUUCAUAUAGUUUAUUGCAACUUUUGAAAAUAGGGAUGUUUAAAAAAUGAUAUUUUACCGUUAAAAGUAUCUUAUAACAAUGUUUUGAACACAGUUCAUAAUAUUGUUUUGAAAACAUUUCAUAAUAUUGUUUUGAAAACGUUUUGUUAUAUUAUUAUAAAACAUUUAAUUAAAAUGUUUUUAAAAUGUUUUCAAACAACGUCUUGAAAAUGCUUAAGAGAAAUAUUUUGAAAACGCUUUUACAAAACGAUAAAAAAACGUUUUCGAAAACUGUUUUUCAAAACGUUUCCAUUCUGUUUCUGGCGCCAUACAAAAAAAACGUUUUAAAAACAUUUUUAAAAAAUGUUUUCACGCUUUUAAAAGAAACGUUUCUAAAAUGUUUCUGUAACGUUUCUGUGUUACCUGGG